rnacentral:rRNA from 1 species
GACGAACGCUGGCGGCGUGCCUAAUACAUGCAAGUAGAACGCUGAAGGAGGAGCUUGCUUCUCUGGAUGAGUUGCGAACGGGUGAGUAACGCGUAGGUAACCUGCCUGGUAGCGGGGGAUAACUAUUGGAAACGAUAGCUAAUACCGCAUAAGAGUAGAUGUUGCAUGACAUUUGCUUAAAAGGUGCAAUUGCAUCACUACCAGCUGGACCUGCGUUGUAUUAGCUAGUUGGUGGGGUAACGGCUCACCAAGGCGACGAUACAUAGCCGACCUGAGAGGGUGAUCGGCCACACUGGGACUGAGACACGGCCCAGACUCCUACGGGAGGCAGCAGUAGGGAAUCUUCGGCAAUGGACGGAAGUCUGACCGAGCAACGCCGCGUGAGUGCAGAAGGUUUUCGGAUCGUAAAGCUCUGUUGUAAGAGAAGAACGAGUGUGAGAGUGGAAAGUUCACACUGUGACGGUAUCUUACCAGAAAGGGACGGCUAACUACGUG